rnacentral:rRNA from 2 species
GGAGGUCAGCGGCGGACGGGUGAGUAACACGUGGGCAACCUGCCUGUAAGACUGGGAUAACUCCGGGAAACCGGAGCUAAUACCGGAUACUAUGUCAAACCGCAUGGUUUGACAUUCAAAGACGGUUUCGGCUGUCACUUACAGAUGGGCCCGCGGCGCAUUAGCUAGUUGGUGAGGUAAUGGCUCACCAAGGCGACGAUGCGUAGCCGACCUGAGAGGGUGAUCGGCCACACUGGGACUGAGACACGGCCCAGACUCCUACGGGAGGCAGCAGUAGGGAAUCUUCCGCAAUGGACGAAAGUCUGACGGAGCAACGCCGCGUGAGUGAUGAAGGUUUUCGGAUCGUAAAACUCUGUUGUCAGGGAAGAACAAGUGCCGGAGUAACUGCCGGCGCCUUGACGGUACCUGACCAGAAAGCCACGGCUAACUACGUGCCAGCAGCCGCGGUAAUACGUAGGUGGCAAGCGUUGUCCGGAAUUAUUGGGCGUAAAGCGCGCGCAGGCGGUUUCUUAAGUCUGAUGUGAAAGCCCCCGGCUCAACCGGGGAGGGUCAUUGGAAACUGGGAAACUUGAGUGCAGAAGAGGAGAGUGGAAUUCCACGUGUAGCGGUGAAAUGCGUAGAGAUGUGGAGGAACACCAGUGGCGAAGGCGACUCUCUGGUCUGUAACUGACGCUGAGGCGCGAAAGCGUGGGGAGCGAACAGGAUUAGAUACCCUGGUAGUCCACGCCGUAAACGAUGAGUGCUAAGUGUUAGAGGGUUUCCGCCCUUUAGUGCUGCAGCUAACGCAUUAAGCACUCCGCCUGGGGAGUACGGUCGCAAGACUGAAACUCAAAGGAAUUGACGGGGGCCCGCACAAGCGGUGGAGCAUGUGGUUUAAUUCGAAGCAACGCGAAGAACCUUACCAGGUCUUGACAUCCUUUGCCACUUCUAGAGAUAGAAGGUUC